rnacentral:snoRNA from 1 species
AAUCCAUGUUGUAGACACUGAUGGAGCAGGCCUUUAUACCUUUCCCAAGCUUCAUAAUAGCACUCCAAGUCAAGUUGAGAGAAUGUGGUGAUUUCGUCCCUCAACUU